AAAGCAGUAGGAUUCCUCUGACAUCAGCCCCAGGAAAAGAAAGCAUUUGCUUUAUCUCCAUGGAGACCCGAGACAAACAAAUUCCAGGUAGACCCAGAGCUGGCCCUUCAGAUCACCAUGACAACAAAUGUGCGUAAAGAUGUUGAUAGAUUAGCUGGACACAGUUAGCAAUGAUUAUAAGUGCGCACAUGGGAUGUGUGAACAUAGCCACCUCACACACAUACACGUGGAGGAGGAGGAGGGGGGGAGGGGAGGAGGGGGAGGGGAGGGGGAAGGAAGGGGGAGGAGGAGGGUAAAAGUCUUUUCAAUCAAAUCUGUUGAUUCUGGAGUUCAGUUGCUAGCAUACUUGCCUAGGAUAUACAAAGCCCUGGAUUCAGUCCUCAGUACCACAUAGACUGGGCACCAUGGCAUAUGCCUGUAAUUCCAGAACUCUGAAGGUAGAGAUAGACCGUUCAGGAGUUCAAGGUCUUCCUCAGCUACACGGUGAGUUUGAGACCACCAAGCAAUCAAGCAAGCAAGCAAGUCACCCAUGUCCACAGGACCGUACUGGAGAACUCAUUUCCCGAGUCAGUGGGGUUCGGAAGCAGGAACGAUGCUUCUCUGACACAAGUCUCACAGCUCGGCCAGGAGUGCUGCUGCCCUCAGUACUCAGGAUCCAUCACUACUGUGGGAGGAAAAGCAGACCCUCAACUGAACUGCCAGGCCAUCAACACAGUUCCAUGUGAAUGCUGGAGUCUUACAAAGAGGGUUGAAGGCUGAGGGCUGGGGUGUAGCUCAGCGGGAGAGCACCUGCUUCAUCCCCAGCUACAUUUCCAGUGCCACCCAAAACAAAACAAGACGAAAGUCAGCCCAGGAAAAUCCAGAUUCAAUCUACAGAAACCAAUGCAGAGCUGUGGCCUCACUCAGGGCAACAUCGUCUGCCUACACAAGCUGGUGUGACAGACAGACGGACGGGGAUCACAGUCACGGUGACUAUGCACACCAGGGGGAACGAUUUUUGUAAAGAAGUUAAAUUCAUGUCUCUUGACUGCCUUUUUCAUAAAAAUGCUUUAAAUUCAUGAGUUUCAUGAUGGCAUACUGUAUAUUCUGCUCAGAUUCACUCUUUCCUGUUCUUCUGCAUUCUGUGGGCUCCCAUCCUUCUCCCAGUAGAGAUAGUCUCUGGUCUACUUUCAUGUCUCUCUCUCUCUCUCUCACACACACACACACACACACACACACACACACUCCUACGUUGUGCAAAGGAGAGAGAGCACAUGUCAUAUUUUGCCUUUCUCAUGUCUGGCUCACUUCACUUAAUAUGAUGAUCUCCAGUUCUGUUUUAUGCAAAUGACAAAAUCUCAGUCUUUUCUUUCUUUUCUUUUCUCUCUUUGUUUCUUUGUUCUUUUCUCUCUCUUUCUUUCUCCUUCCUUCCUUCCUUCCUUCCUUUCUCCCCCUCUCUCUCCCUCCCUCCCUCCCUCCCUUCCUUCUUUCCUUCCUUCCUCUCUCUCAAUCUCUCAAUCUCUCUCUCUCUCUCUCUCUCUCUCUGCCUGCCUGCCUCCCUCCCUCCCUCCCUCCCUUCCUUCCUUCCUUCCUUCCUUCCUUCCUUCCUUCCUUCCUUCCUUUCAAUUUAGGGGCUUACUAUAAAACACUGGCUGGCCUGAAACUUCCUAUGUGGACCAGGCUGUCCCAGAACUCACAGAGAUCCACCUGCCUCUACUUUCUGAGUGUUAGGGGUGUGUGUGUGUGUGUGUGUGUGUGUGUACUCUUCCUUUCUUCCUUGUUUCUGGCUAAAUAUGACUCUAGUGUGUAUACCACAUUUGUUUCAUCUACUCAUCUGCUGAUGGGCAUCUAGGCAAUAGCUCAGCUAUUGGAAACAGUAAUAUUGCAUGGUUGUAAUAAGCAGGGCCGAGCUGGUAUCUCUGUGGUAUACUGGCUCUCGUUUUACCCCCACUGGCAAACAAAAAAUAAACAAAAACAAAAAAAAGAUAAUUGUAUGCCUCACCUCUGAAUUUUGUGGGCAUAUUUGUCUCUGUGGGAGCUAACUGCUCUUUGGGAAGCUGAGGGACCCUCAUCUGGAUUGACAGCUGACCUAUUGAGCAGCUGAAUCCGAAGGACAGCACCAAGCCUCAUCAUACCAUUAACCCAGAAAGCAAAGCUGCACACGUGGGGCUGUGGGCAGAGAGACUCACAGUGGGGUGAAACAGCAGGGUCUAAUGAAAGGUCAGAAGGUCGCCGUUUAGUACCCAAGGGCAGUCUUCAUCCCUGCACUCACACAGUAAUUUACAGAGCACUCCCUAGGGAGGAGGGCGAAGGGUGCUUACACGUGCUUGUGUCUACCGACUUGUUAAUUAUUUAGUAUUUAUCGAAAGCAAUUCUUCCAAAAAGAUAUAAACAAGGAGGUAGAUAAAUGUGCCUUUCCUAAGUGCU
rnacentral:lncRNA from 1 species